ACGGGGUGCAGCAGGCGCGAAAACUUUACACUGCGCGAAAGCGCGAUAAGGGGACCUCGAGUGCGUGCGCAAUGCGUACGCUUUUCAUAUGCCUAAAAAGCAUGUGGAAUAAGGGCCGGGCAAGACCGGUGCCAGCCGCCGCGGUAACACCGGCGGCUCAAGUGGUGGCCGCUAUUAUUGGGCUUAAAGGGUCCGUAGCCGGACCAGUUAGUCCCUUGGGAAAUCUUACGGCUUAACCGUAAGGCUGCCAAUGGAUACUGCUGGUCUUGGGACCGGGAGAGGCAAGAGGUACCUCAGGGGUAGGAGUGAAAUCUUGUAAUCCUUGAGGGACCACCAGUGGCGAAGGCGUCCCACCAGAACGGAUCUGACGGCAAGGGACGAAAGCUAGGGGCACGAACCGGAUUAGAUACCCGGGUAGUCCUAGCCGUAAACGAUACUCGCUAGGUGUCGGCCACGGUGCGACCGUGGUCGGUGCCGUAGGGAAGCCGUGAAGCGAGCCACCUGGGAAGUACGGCCGCAAGGCUGAAACUUAAAGGAAUUGGCGGGGGAGC
rnacentral:rRNA from 1 species